rnacentral:rRNA from 1 species
GACGAACGCUGGCGGCGUGCUUAACACAUGCAAGUCGAACGGAGUGGCGAACGGGUGAGUAACACGGGGGGGACCUGCCCUGCACUUCGGGAUACGCCUGGGAAAAUGGGUCUAAUACCGGAUAGUGGGGGAUGGGCCCGCGGCAUAUCAGCUUGUGGGUGGGGUAAUGGCCUACCAAGGCGGCGACGGUGAGCCGGCCUGAGAGGGUGGACGGCCACAUUGGGCCUGAGACACGGCCCAGACUCCUCCGGGGGGCAGCAGUGGGGAAUAUUGCACAAUGGGAGGAAGCCUGAUGCAGCGACGCCGUGUGGGGGAGGACGGCCUUCGGGUUGUAAACUCCUUUCACCAUCGACGCGGUAGAUGGAGAAGAAGCACCGGCUAACUACGUGCCAGCAGCCGCGGUAAUAC